AUGAGCAAAAGUAGACUUCUCCCCAAGAAAGGCAGAAAUGAUUGCGCCGUCAUUCCUUCCUUGUCUCAUCUUUGUCGUCUUGAGAUCCGGUCCAUUUUAAAGAGUGAGCGUCUACGAUCCGAACAGUUUAUCCGUGAAUUGCCAUUACCAGCUUGUCUGCAGGACUACCUUCUCUACUUAGAUAUCUUGAGAGUGAAUGCUAUUCCAGCAGUGGCGGAGUCUCUGGAUGAGAGCAUUGGGGGAAUUCCUCCUGCCAGUCAUUCCACUUCUGAAGAUGCAGAGAAGAGGGAAGCAUGUAAUGCUGAUGCCAGAUGAUGAUACUGCCUGUGACUGAACUCUCUCGCUGUAGAUUUCGUAAUGGCAAUUAGCCAUCAACCAGAGAAGAGCUACUGUAAAUAGCGAUUUGUAGUAACAGGCCUUUUCAUGCUGUAGUUUCCUAUCAGAUCUAGGAGUUCGUUGYAAGAUCUAUGAUGUGCUUGUUUAGAAAGUCUGUUGUAGACUUUCUAAGUCUGAAAAAGUUUUCUGUUUCUGAAAAGRAAUUUUUAACUCUUAUGGAGUAAAACUAGCUUGUUCAAUGAACAGAGCUUAUAAAAGGUUGAAAUGUGUUUGAUCAGACACUGUUAGUACUAACACUUUAUUCCAGGUAGUGCAUAUACCAAAGGAAAUAUCUGAAAGUCAAGGACACCUUAUGGUAUUACUGUUACGAAUUUAGAUGUUGAGGAGUGAUCUAGGUGAAACAGAGAUAGGAACUUAAUAUGAACAAAGGAAGUGUUUGUGGAAGUAACUUUUUUUUUUUUCUUGGUCCUCUGUAUUCACAACUUGAAGAUGUGCAUUCUUUUGUCAUCACUUUCAGUCAUCUUUCGAUGCUUCUUUCUAUGCUGCUUUCAUUGAAACUAUUUUAGGAUAUUCAUUUGAAUAUAAAAAUGCAUAUAGGACUUUAUUGAAUGCACCAUUGAUUAUUCAUCCUCCUAACGUGAACUCUUGCCACUUAAAAAGAGAUAUGGAUCAGAUUUAUACACGUUUUCCAUAGGUAGAAUAUACGAUGUUCAUAUCAGUGUCUGAAUUAACAGAUACUCCAAAGAUAUUUUGCAAUGAUUGUACAGAAAAACAAGUGCUACAAAAAUAAAAUGCUCUUUGAAAGACUGAAGUGUCCA
rnacentral:lncRNA from 1 species